GACGAACCGUGCGAACGUUAUUCGGAAUCACUGGGCUUAAAGGGCGCGUAGGCGGGCCGUCCAGUCAGGGGUGAAAUACUCUAGCUCAACUAGAGAACAGCUUUUGAUACUGACGGCCUCGAGGGGGGUAGGGGCAUGUGGAACUUCCGGUGGAGCGGUGAAAUGCGUAGAUAUCGGAAGGAACGCCGGUGGCGAAAGCGACGUGCUGGACCCUUUCUGACGCUGAGGCGCGAAAGCCAGGGGAGCAAACGGG
rnacentral:rRNA from 1 species